rnacentral:rRNA from 1 species
GUUAUAUGGUCAAGUGAAGAAGCGCAUACGGUGGAUGCCUUGGCAGUCAGAGGCGAUGAAAGACGUGGUAGCCUGCGAAAAGCUUCGGGGAGUCGGCAAACAGACUUUGAUCCGGAGAUCUCUGAAUGGGGGAACCCACCUAGGAUAACCUAGGUAUCUUGUACUGAAUCCAUAGGUGCAAGAGGCGAACCAGGGGAACUGAAACAUCUAAGUACCCUGAGGAAAAGAAAUCAACCGAGAUUCCCUUAGUAGUGGCGAGCGAACGGGGAUUAGCCCUUAAGCUUCAUUGAUUUUAGCGGAACGCUCUGGAAAGUGCGGCCAUAGUGGGUGAUAGCCCCGUACGCGAAAGGAUCUUUGAAGUGAAAUCGAGUAGGACGGAGCACGAGAAACUUUGUCUGAACAUGGGGGGACCAUCCUCCAAGGCUAAAUACUACUGACUGACCGAUAGUGAACCAGUACCGUGAGGGAAAGGCGAAAAGAACCCCGGAGAGGGGAGUGAAAUAGAACCUGAAACCGUAUGCGUACAAGCAGUGGGAGCCUACUUGUUAGGUGACUGCGUACCUUUUGUAUAAUGGGUCAGCGACUUAUAUUCAGUGGCAAGCUUAACCGUAUAGGGUAGGCGUAGCGAAAGCGAGUCUUAAUAGGGCGUUUAGUCGCUGGGUAUAGACCCGAAACCGGGCGAUCUAUCCAUGAGCAGGUUGAAGGUUAGGUAACACUGACUGGAGGACCGAACCCACUCCCGUUGAAAAGGUAGGGGAUGACUUGUGGAUCGGAGUGAAAGGCUAAUCAAGCUCGGAGAUAGCUGGUUCUCCUCGAAAGCUAUUUAGGUAGCGCCUCAUGUAUCACUCUGGGGGGUAGAGCACUGUUUCGGCUAGGGGGUCAUCCCGACUUACCAAACCGAUGCAAACUCCGAAUACCCAGAAGUGCCGAGCAUGGGAGACACACGGCGGGUGCUAACGUCCGUCGUGAAAAGGGAAACAACCCAGACCGCCAGCUAAGGUCCCAAAGUUGUGGUUAAGUGGUAAACGAUGUGGGAAGGCUUAGACAGCUAGGAGGUUGGCUUAGAAGCAGCCAUCCUUUAAAGAAAGCGUAAUAGCUCACUAGUCGAGUCGGCCUGCGCGGAAGAUGUAACGGGGCUCAAACCACACACCGAAGCUGCGGGUGUCACGUAAGUGACGCGGUAGAGGAGCGUUCUGUAAGCCUGUGAAGGUGAGUUGAGAAGCUUGCUGGAGGUAUCAGAAGUGCGAAUGCUGACAUGAGUAACGACAAUGGGUGUGAAAAACACCCACGCCGAAAGACCAAGGGUUCCUGCGCAACGUUAAUCGACGCAGGGUUAGUCGGUUCCUAAGGCGAGGCUGAAAAGCGUAGUCGAUGGGAAACAGGUUAAUAUUCCUGUACUUCUGGUUACUGCGAUGGAGGGACGGAGAAGGCUAGGCCAGCUUGGCGUUGGUUGUCCAAGUUUAAGGUGGUAGGCUGAAAUCUUAGGUAAAUCCGGGGUUUCAAGGCCGAGAGCUGAUGACGAGUCGUCUUUUAGAUGACGAAGUGGUUGAUGCCAUGCUUCCAAGAAAAGCUUCUAAGCUUCAGGUAACCAGGAACCGUACCCCAAACCGACACAGGUGGUCGGGUAGAGAAUACCAAGGCGCUUGAGAGAACUCGGGUGAAGGAACUAGGCAAAAUGGCACCGUAACUUCGGGAGAAGGUGCGCCGGCUAGGGUGAAGGAUUUACUCCGUAAGCUCUGGCUGGUCGAAGAUACCAGGCCGCUGCGACUGUUUAUUAAAAACACAGCACUCUGCAAACACGAAAGUGGACGUAUAGGGUGUGACGCCUGCCCGGUGCCGGAAGGUUAAUUGAUGGGGUUAGCGCAAGCGAAGCUCUUGAUCGAAGCCCCGGUAAACGGCGGCCGUAACUAUAACGGUCCUAAGGUAGCGAAAUUCCUUGUCGGGUAAGUUCCGACCUGCACGAAUGGCGUAACGAUGGCGGCGCUGUCUCCACCCGAGACUCAGUGAAAUUGAAAUCGCUGUGAAGAUGCAGUGUAUCCGCGGCUAGACGGAAAGACCCCGUGAACCUUUACUGUAGCUUUGCACUGGACUUUGAGCCUGCUUGUGUAGGAUAGGUGGGAGGCUUUGAAGCGUGGACGCCAGUUCGCGUGGAGCCAUCCUUGAAAUACCACCCUGGCAUGCUUGAGGUUCUAACUCUGGUCCGUGAUCCGGAUCGAGGACAGUGUAUGGUGGGCAGUUUGACUGGGGCGGUCUCCUCCUAAAGAGUAACGGAGGAGUACGAAGGUGCGCUCAGACCGGUCGGAAAUCGGUCGCAGAGUAUAAAGGCAAAAGCGCGCUUGACUGCGAGACAGACACGUCGAGCAGGUACGAAAGUAGGUCUUAGUGAUCCGGUGGUUCUGUAUGGAAGGGCCAUCGCUCAACGGAUAAAAGGUACUCCGGGGAUAACAGGCUGAUACCGCCCAAGAGUUCAUAUCGACGGCGGUGUUUGGCACCUCGAUGUCGGCUCAUCACAUCCUGGGGCUGAAGCCGGUCCCAAGGGUAUGGCUGUUCGCCAUUUAAAGUGGUACGCGAGCUGGGUUUAGAACGUCGUGAGACAGUUCGGUCCCUAUCUGCCGUGGACGUUUGAGAUUUGAGAGGGGCUGCUCCUAGUACGAGAGGACCGGAGUGGACGAACCUCUGGUGUUCCGGUUGUCACGCCAGUGGCAUUGCCGGGUAGCUAUGUUCGGAAAAGAUAACCGCUGAAAGCAUCUAAGCGGGAAACUUGCCUCAAGAUGAGAUCUCACUGGGAACUUGAUUCCCCUGAAGGGCCGUCGAAGACUACGACGUUGAUA